AGAUUAAGUUAUUAAGGGCGCACGGUGGAUGCCUUGGCACUAGAAGCCGAUGAAGGACGUUACUAACGACGAUAUGCUUUGGGGAGCUGUAAGUAAGCUUUGAUCCAGAGAUUUCCGAAUGGGGAAACCCAGCAUGAGUUAUGUCAUGUUAUCGAUAUGUGAAUACAUAGCAUAUCAGAAGGCACACCCGGAGAACUGAAACAUCUUAGUACCCGGAGGAAGAGAAAGAAAAUUCGAUUCCCUUAGUAGCGGCGAGCGAAACGGGAAGAGCCCAAACCAACAAGCUUGCUUGUUGGGGUUGUAGGACACUCUAUACGGAGUUACAAAGGACGACAUUAGACGAAUCAUCUGGAAAGAUGAAUCAAAGAAGGUAAUAAUCCUGUAGUCGAAAAUGUUGUCUCUCUUGAGUGGAUCCUGAGUACGACGGAGCACGUGAAAUUCCGUCGGAAUCUGGGAGGACCAUCUCCUAAGGCUAAAUACUCUCUAGUGACCGAUAGUGAACCAGUACCGUGAGGGAAAGGUGAAAAGCACCCCGGAAGGGGAGUGAAAUAGAACCUGAAACCGUGUGCUUACAAGUAGUCAGAGCCCGUUAAUGGGUGAUGGCGUGCCUUUUGUAGAAUGAACCGGCGAGUUACGAUUUGAUGCAAGGUUAAGCAGUAAAUGUGGAGCCGUAGCGAAAGCGAGUCUGAAUAGGGCGUUUAGUAUUUGGUCGUAGACCCGAAACCAGGUGAUCUACCCUUGGUCAGGUUGAAGUUCAGGUAACACUGAAUGGAGGACCGAACCGACUUACGUUGAAAAGUGAGCGGAUGAACUGAGGGUAGCGGAGAAAUUCCAAUCGAACCUGGAGAUAGCUGGUUCUCUCCGAAAUAGCUUUAGGGCUAGCCUCAAGUGAUGAUUAUUGGAGGUAGAGCACUGUUUGGACGAGGGGCCCCUCUCGGGUUACCGAAUUCAGACAAACUCCGAAUGCCAAUUAAUUUAACUUGGGAGUCAGAACAUGGGUGAUAAGGUCCGUGUUCGAAAGGGAAACAGCCCAGACCACCAGCUAAGGUCCCAAAAUAUAUGUUAAGUGGAAAAGGAUGUGGCGUUGCCCAGACAACUAGGAUGUUGGCUUAGAAGCAGCCAUCAUUUAAAGAGUGCGUAAUAGCUCACUAGUCGAGUGACACUGCGCCGAAAAUGUACCGGGGCUAAACAUAUUACCGAAGCUGUGGAUUGUCCUUUGGACAAUGGUAGGAGAGCGUUCUAAGGGCGUUGAAGCAUGAUCGUAAGGACAUGUGGAGCGCUUAGAAGUGAGAAUGCCGGUGUGAGUAGCGAAAGA
rnacentral:rRNA from 1 species